rnacentral:rRNA from 1 species
AGCGGCGGAUGGGUGAGUAACACGUGGGGAACCUGCCCCUAAGUCUGGGAUACCAUUUGGAAACAGGUGCUAAUACCGGAUAAUAAAGCAGAUCGCAUGAUCAGCUUUUGAAAGGCGGCGUAAGCUGUCGCUAAGGGAUGGCCCCGGGGUGCGUUGGCUAGUUGGUAAGGUAACGGCUUACCAAGGCGACGAUGCAUAGCCGAGUUGAGAGACUGAUCGGCCACAUUGGGACUGAGACACGGCCCAAACUCCUACGGGAGGCAGCAGUAGGGAAUCUUCCACAAUGGACGCAAGUCUGAUGGAGCAACGCCGCGUGAGUGAAGAAGGUUUUCGGAUCGUAAAGCUCUGUUGUUGGUGAAGAAGGAUAGAGGUAGUAACUGGCCUUUAUUUGACGGUAAUCAACCAGAAAGUCACGGCUAACUACGUGCCAGCAGCCGCGGUAAUACGUAGGUGGCAAGCGUUGUCCGGAUUUAUUGGGCGUAAAGCGAGCGCAGGCGGAAAAAUAAGUCUAAUGUGAAAGCCCUCGGCUUAACCGAGGAACUGCAUCGGAAACUGUUUUUCUUGAGUGCAGAAGAGGAGAGUGGAACUCCAUGUGUAGCGGUGGAAUGCGUAGAUAUAUGGAAGAACACCAGUGGCGAAGGCGGCUCUCUGGUCUGCAACUGACGCUGAGGCUCGAAAGCAUGGGUAGCGAACAGGAUUAGAUACCUUGGUAGUCCAUGCCGUAAACGAUGAGUGCUAAAGUGU